AUGGGUAGAAGAGGGUGUGCCAGCCCUAUGGUGGGGACCCUUGGGGAAAGAGCACUCCAGCUUCCUCCUGUCAAUCCCUGGGAAAGCCAGCAUCCAAGGAGUUGCAGGGAAAGGAGGGCCAGUGUGCUCUGUGUGCCCCUUUACUGUUCAUCAGUCCUCUUCUUUUCCCCGCCGGGCUCCUGGGGUCCUUGGCAGGUGCAGAGGGAAGUCCGGGACCUGUGGAACCUGCACGGGUCAGUGCUCCCAGGCAGGCAGCAGCUCCUGCAGCACCACAAGGCCAUUCUCACAGUGCAAAGGACCCCGCCCCGGCCACAGAGUCCCAGCCCCAAAGUCAAGGCCACUUGGGAAGGCCCCUCAGAGACAGGCCAGCCGGAGGGAGCCCUGUGCCUCCCGACACCACACAGGCCUGGCAGCUCCACCAGCCCACAAGUCCAGAGAGGUCCUGAGAGUGUGGAGGUUGCAAGCCUGGCCUCUGAGCGGUGGGAGGGAACACCUGCGACAUCAUCAGAUGCCGACGGCCACCAGCAGUCUCCAAGGCUGGCCUGGGGAGAGGACACAGCCAAGGCCAGCAGCCCACCCAAGGAGAGAGGCAGCCAUGCAGACCAAGGAUUUCUUGAGAGGAUCUGGAGGCUGUGAAGGAAGUCUCCCAGGUUACUUUCCACUCCUGAAGCAGUGUGUGCGCACACACGUGUGAAUUGUCACUUCUGCAAACCCUUCUUACUCAUCACCCACCUACUCAUCCAUGUGUCUCUCCACCUAUCUGUGGUCUGUCCAUGCAUCUUUACCAACUCCUUACCUUAAUCAUUUAUAAAUGAUGUCGGAGCUGAGCACAAGCCUAUAAUCCAGCUACUUCAGAGGCUGAGGCAGGAGAGCUGCAAGUUCAAGUCCAGCCUAGGGAAUUUAGCAAGACCUUAUCUCAAAAAAUAAAUACUAAAAGGGCUGGGGCUGGGGCUCAGUGGUAGAGCUUCUUUCCUAGCUUGUGUGAAGCCCUGGGUCCCAUCCCUAGAACUUCAAAAACGAAAACAACCAAAAAGCCAAGCGUGGUGGUGGAUGCCUGUAAUCCCAGCUCUCAGGAGGCUGAAGCAGUAGGAUCACCUCGAGUUCAAGGCCAGCCUGGGCGACACAAUCAAUUCAAGACCAACUUGAACUAUACAGUGAACUAUACAGUGAAAAGACAAACCCAGAAAUAACAAAACAAAAAACCCCAAAACUUCAAAUAUGUUUAUAAAUAAUUUGUAGCCCUGGCAGAAGCCAAUGUGCCAUGAGAGGGUGGGGUACACAGGAGCCACACACACAGCGGCUUUGGGAACUUGAUCCCUGAACAUUGGAAAAUACCACUUGGGCCCAGUAAUAUGUACAACUUCUGGGUUUUACGGACCAGUUCAAAUUAAUUUUUUAAAACCCACUUGAAUUAAAGAUUCUAAACUAGGAAAGAAUUGUUCUCAGGAAAUUAUUGUUUUCUCCUUGUUCAUGGGUGUGCUACACUUUACACUUUCUAUUAAGACAUAAUCCCCCUACCACAACAUUCACUUGUUUACACUGUACACGUGGAGAAUUUGAGACCCCUUAGAGUACUUAGUAUAUUCACACAUCCCCCCUCCCAGUGGGUGUGGGUCUUUGUCCCCCUCAGGCUGGGACCCCCAGUGAGAGGGCCCCUUCAUCUUACUGUACUUGGGCCCAAGGGCCCCAGACUUUCAUGCACCCGCGCUGCUUUAUCUUUAUUUGUAUUUGCCCAUGUCUGCAGUACAUAAUGAUCACGCUCUUCACGGAAGCUGGUGCAUGGACACGGCACAUCUCUGGGUUUGUUUUGUUUUUUUUACCUCCCCUUCUCUUUCCCGCUCCCUCCAUCUCUUGGUUCCCUUUCUUUUUUGCAGGAGGCCUAUCUCCUGGUUCCUAUUAUCCAUCCUUUAUUUCGCUCUUAUUUAUUCUUUGGGCUUCACAUAUCAGAGAACCCACACUACUGAAUCCUGUGCGUCUGACUGAUUUCACUUGAGCAGCAGAGUCUCAAGGCCUGGUGCUGUGUCCUCAGUGGAAGAAGCAGGCAGAGCAGAGGUUUUAGGUGCCAGGUCCUGGGACCCUGGAGACACCUUUGAG
rnacentral:lncRNA from 1 species